UGACCGCUGGCGGCGUGCCUAAUACAUGCAAGUCGAGCGAACAGAUGAGGAGCUUGCUCCUCUGACGUUAGCGGCGGACGGGUGAGUAACACGUGGAUAACCUACCUAUAAGACUGGGAUAACUUCGGGAAACCGGAGCUAAUACCGGAUAAUAUAUUGAACCGCAUGGUUCAAUAGUGAAAGACGGUUUUGCUGUCACUUAUAGAUGGAUCCGCGCCGCAUUAGCUAGUUGGUAAGGUAACGGCUUACCAAGGCAACGAUGCGUAGCCGACCUGAGAGGGUGAUCGGCCACACUGGAACUGAGACACGGUCCAGACUCCUACGGGAGGCAGCAGUAGGGAAUCUUCCGCAAUGGGCGAAAGCCUGACGGAGCAACGCCGCGUGAGUGAUGAAGGUCUUCGGAUCGUAAAACUCUGUUAUUAGGGAAGAACAAAUGUGUAAGUAACUAUGCACGUCUUGACGGUACCUAAUCAGAAAGCCACGGCUAACUACGUG
rnacentral:rRNA from 1 species